UGUUUGGUUGCUAUGGGCAACUGGGCAACUUUUCCUCUGGACAGGUCUUCAUAAAUCUCCCCCAGAGACUUGUGGAGGACACAGUAGAAGAUCAGCUGUUCCCUCUGUGAACAUUGCAGAGCACUUUGUAACAGGCAGCUGUCAGGAUACAGAGAAGAGAAGACUAUUUCCAAUUCCAUGUCACUCAGCAGCACAGAAAAACAUAACUUCAUUACUCCCCAGAAGCAAGGACAAUAUCCCUUGACAGAUGUAGAAAUGUAGGCAGACGUGCACACAGCGCUUAGAAAAGAGGAAAAGCUUUAAUAAAUGUAAAACAGACGUGAGCAAAAGAAGAGAAAAGUACUAAUAAGUACAAAAUACCAGAUAUUCUGUACCUUAUUCUACAUGUAAAGCUAUUCGCCAUACAUUGGUAGAGAUGACAAAAAAAAAAAAAAAAAAAAAAAAAUUACCUAUUAAAUAACCAACUGUUCAACAAAAUAA